rnacentral:lncRNA from 1 species
UCUUUGAGAAAUAUACAUAUGUAUUUUUAAUAGAAUUAUGGUUUUUGGUUCCCCACAGAAUAUGGCAAAGACUUCCUUUCUCUUCCAUUCCUGUCUCUCCCCCAUCCUCUCUUGCUGUCCUCCUCUGCCUCCAAGAUGAAACCCUAGAAUGGAUUAAGAUAUUUCUGAACAUUAAGGAUGUCGGGAAUAUAUCCAUAUGGACCAAAUCCAUCGGAAUGGACCAAACCUAUCUGUGGGCUUGUACUGACCCAUAGGAACCAGUCUCUACCACAAGAAGACCCUCUUUCAACACAGGAGAGCACAUCAAGCCAAGGUUGAUGGAUUAGAAAGUAGGCCCACCGGAUCACCUGCAGAUGGUCCUGAUAAGAGCAAGGAAUGACAAGUCUGAUGGUUUCACAUCCCAUUACCAGCUUCUGUUGACUUGGCCUCCUGAGUGUGUUAUGGCGUUCACAAUUCCACCUGCUUGGAACCCAGCGAGAAGUGCCUCUUGCCAGUGGUUCCUCGUCUGUGACAUGCAGGCCAGAAGAUGGGCUUGCGGAGCGUGGUGGACGAAGAGGGAGCCAGAGAGCUCGGUGUUUCACCCGGGUUCUUCAGUUCAAAGGGGCUGUGGGCAUUUCUCAAUCUAGGGGAAGCCAUGCUCUGCAAAAAACUAUCGGUGGAGGUAAUGCAGUCAAUAUGCAGAGGGAAUUGGGGCAGUUCCUAACAAGGGACGGAGGUAGGUCCCUGAAAAAAAAAGAAGUGUCAUCCCAGUGUGGGCCACGCAGAAACAAGAACACAGUGAAGGAUGAGCAGAAUCCUUGAGGAGAGGUCCUGACCAGAGCACUGGGGCUGCUGUCAGGGUGGAGCAAGUGGAACCUGGCCCCAGGGCAGUGAGGGGCCUCCCUGCCUGUGUCUGUGGGUGGGACUCAGGCCCCAGGAGCUACACACCUGCCCACAACACAGCUACUUCUCCACGGAAGCUCCUGGAGGAGGAAGAUAGGAAAGAGGGCAGAGCGUGGAAAGAAGCCGGGGAGGUGGGCCCUGUGAGGCCUCGGUCCAAGUCCUAACCUCAAGAGCAGGACUUCGUUUCUGAGGCCACCUGUGGUGUCUGUGUCCAUAGGACAGUAUCACCUGUGCUCCAGGCAGACACCUUCCCUGCUGGGAUGUGCUUGUCUGGACCAAUAACACAGCCUCCACCCGCCUCCCUCGCUCCCUCCCCGUGUCUCUUCAGAGCCCUGCCCUUGCUUAGACUGACCUCUUUCCCCUCUUCAAAGGAGGGGAGGAGUGCAUUGUUGCACCCACGGUGCCCUGGCCUCACCCCAUGUUGACAUCAGCAUCUUGCUGAUUACAGAUCUCAGACUCGGAUGUAACCAAUGUCUAAGUUCAGCUCUGAGGAGAACGAACAUGCAUAUAAUUUAGUGUUCAGUUCACGAGCAGGGUUGAAUAGUUCUGCUGUGUUCACCAAGUCUUGUAUUUGAAAACCUGGUCAGUGUGUUCAACGUGGAGACCCGGACCAGGUGGACCCAAUGUUACCAAUGUGGUCCAGUUUUGUAGCCCGAGCCCAGCACCAGCUGGGGGCAGCGCACCCCUUCAGCGGCUCAGCUUCAGUCGAUUGUUCUAGGUCGAAUAAAGACGGAUUGCAAAGAAAUAAAAG